GCUUGAUGACGUUGAUAUCAGUUGUGCUGCUUGCGUGACUGAGUUUGCGUGCGUGAUUGAGCUCACACGCACGCAAACUCAGUCACGCAAGCAGCACAACGGAUAUCAACGUCA
rnacentral:miRNA from 1 species